AUUAAAUUCAUAAUACUUCCUCCCACUUUAAACAAUUUUCACAUUGCAACCAAAUUGUCAACUCCAACAGUCCCUUCUUCUUCUCUUGCACUGAUAAACUCAUUCCACAUCUACUCUUCCUGACUGUAAUUGUGUGAAAAGGAAACUGAGGAGCCAUUCUUUCAUGCAGAGACUGAUGUAUGUAUGGAACAAACUGCCAGAGGAAGUGAUUGAGACCACAUGUCGAAAUGACCAGCAAGUAGCAGGACACAAAGAUUUCAUCAAAGAUCGGAUGUCCAAGUGUCUUUGGUUGGAAGAGUGAAUGCAUUGCAGAGUCUACGUCACAGGUUACUGAAGAUCUGGGCGGAAUUCACUGAAACCUGCAAAGGACAGCUGGAGUGGCAGCCAGAGGAGAUUAGAAUCUGGUUGGGGUGUGGUGAGUAAAUCACUGGGUAUGAUUAGCUGUUGGGAGAUUAUUGCUUCUGGAUUGGCUUGGAUAGAAGAUUGAAUGUUUAUCUUCCUAUGCAGGUGCUAAAGGGCCUCAGAGUGGUGACAAAAGGACAGUGUUUUUGUAUAGAUAAAUGGACCAACGCGUGCUUUAGACAUGGGAAUGUGCAUCAAAUACUGAUCCUUUACCAACAUGACAGGAGUUCCCUGCUGAAAGUGGGCUGAAUAAACGGACAAUGUAGAAAAAGCCACUCGGUGUCUGAGUGCUGUAGAGAGAGUUCUAGCUUUACUUCAAGCAAUGCCACACUGCUCGCCUCAUGAUGUCAAAUGUGUCACUGCACUCCAACAAUCCAUCCUCAACAGAUCACCAAGCUUCAAAGAGACCAGAUCAAAAAAGAACUGCUCAUUAUAACACUCAGCCACACCUAGAAGCAUUCCAGAGCCUGGUCUUAAGCAUUUUUACUGAAAGCCAAGCUGUCUGUUUUGUGCUCGAGCAGACAAUGUUUUUCCUCUAUACAUACAUAUUUUCAUCACUCUACUUCUCAUUGUUUACCCCAUUUUCAAGUUUUGCUUCAUCUACAAAGUUGGAGUUGGUGCCCAAGAUAUUACUAUGGGGUCAAGAUAUCUCUUGAAAUACAUUGUUACUCAUCAGAGAACAGCCUGGCAUACUUUUCUUCACCUCGACAAGGAACCAUUCAGCCUGACUCUCCAAGACAAUUCCAUUUCCAAAUGAUUCCUUCGCUGUUGCAAGUUAAGUUGAUGCAUAAUCAGAGGUUGUCAUGGUCUGGUCUGUGGAUUCCUCAUUCCAGUUAUUUCCUUCUCCCUGUGUUCCAUUGGGCACUUUGAUUAAGGCACCUGAACUUCAUUUUGUACCAGCAACAGAAAAGGCUCUGGGUUACAGCGGUUAUUGCUGGAUCAUCAUCAGAAGUUCGUCACCAGUAACCAGUCACCAGAAACCAGUCACCUCACUGUAGCCACUGCAGCUAUCCUUGUCUCAGGGCAGCCAAGAAUCGUGGACUCUAGUUGCUUCAGUGCCAUGGUUGCUUAGUGAAUUUAGUCGUUUUUGUGGCCAGUUGAGUUGCCAGCCAUUUUGCCGCUACUCCAAGUAAGAUACAAAUUCUGUCAUUUUCAUGGCCAGCUGAGACUACGUUGAGUUGGGAGCCUGUCAUGCGCAGUUCCUGGGUCAAGUCGAGAACCUGCCAUUCAGAGUUUCUGGGUCGAGUCUGGAGCCUGCCAUGUGCAGUUCCUGGGUCAAGUUGAGAGCCUGUCAUCCGCUGUUCCUAGGUCGAGUCGAGAGCUUGCUGUCCUAGUCCUUUUAGCUGAGUUGGUCCGACCGUUGGCCUCUACUCCAAGUUGGAUAUUCUGUCUCUUCGUUGUCCUAGUCCUUCCAGCUGAGUAGGUCCAGCCGUUUGCUGCUACUCCAAGUUGGGUAGUCUGUCUCCUCAUUGUCCAAGUCCUUCAAGUCCAGGGUCGUGGGCUGUGUCCAAGUCCAGGCUCCAAGCCGUGUUCCAGUUCCAGGCUUCAUGUUCCAAUUCUAGGCUGAGUCUCGGGCUACGUCCACACUAGACUGGAUAAAUUUGAAAAUGCUGGUUUCACGUAAAAACGAUAGGCAUCCACACUGAGCAUUUUUAAAAAUAUCUCUGUCCACAGUAAAACGGAUAUUUCGGCGAAUCUCCUCCUACUGCGCAUGCGCAGGACACAUCUACCGAAAACAAGCGACAUGUUUGGUGUCGAAUCUUGCCGUGAAAGGCUUGGUGUGCAUUUGUUCAGUUACAGACUAGAAAAACUUAAAUGACUGACAGCUGUUGGCUCUCGCGCAGGAGGACUUAAAAGUAAAAAAUACUGGAGCGCAUGGAGGCAACCGACAGGGAGUUCAUGGACAGUAUGACCCUGCUGACAAUGAACAUUCAAAAACUGACAAACUCUUGUUGCAUUAAUAAAGCCCCCUGUUAAAUGUAUAAAACAUGUCUGCAUCAGUAUUAUCUUGUAUUUCUAUAUAAUGUUACAUUAGGCUGUUACACAUCUAUUGUCAGAGAAGUACUUGCAUAAAUAGGUAAACCACCUUCAUACCAGCAAGGACAGAAAAUGGCAAAGUGAGUACACUUGUUUAUUCAGUAAGUUAUGGGUCAAAGUAUUUGGUGAGUAUAUUUCUAACUUCUGGCUUCAGUCUCGUUGUCAUAUGUUCUGAAAUUGUUAGGUUGCGUUCAAGAAAACAAUAAAUAGCGUGCUUCCAUCACCAUCUGUUGCGGCAUGUCAUGACAGCAAUUUCUAGAUUUCUCCAGUUUCCCCGUCCACACUGCUCCAACCAAUCCGGCGUUUUCAAAAUUACACACUCUGGAAAGCAUUUCUGAAAAUCUCCAUUUUCGGGGGAUGAAAAUGCCGUUUUAAUGUGGAUGGAGGGUAAAAACGAAGAGAAAAAGUUUCAGUUAUGGAUUUAUCUGGUGUAGUGUGGACUUAGCCUCAGUCAAGUUCUGAGUCCAUGUCAAGGUCCAGGUUCCGAGUCUGAGUCAAGAUCCAAGUUCAGAGUCCAAGUUGAGUCCCAAGCUGAGGUCCAGGGUCUGAGUCCAAGUCCAAGUCUAAGUCCAGGUUUUACCAGUUUGUUGUGCAAUAUUUAUGUUCAUGUUGACAUUUUGUCCUUGCUCCCUGGCC